rnacentral:misc_RNA from 1 species
AAGACUAUAGACCUGCGGAGUACCUGCGGAGGGAUCAUUACUGUGGUGGGCGGCCCUUCGGGGCAUGUCCUACCCGAGAUAGAACCCUUGCUUCUGAGUACCGUUUCGUUUCCUCGGCAGGCUCGCCUGCCAACGGGGACCCAAACCAAACCUUUUUGUAAUGCAGUAACCGUCUCAAAAUUAAAAAAAAAUCAAAACUUUCAGCAACGGAUCUCU